rnacentral:rRNA from 1 species
UCAGGAUUAAGUACCCUGGUAGUCCACGCCGUAAACGAUGGAUACUAGCUGUUCGGUUUUCGGACUGAGUGGCUAAGCGAAAGUGAUAAGUAUCCCACCUGGGGAGUACGUUCGCAAGAAUGAAACUCAAAGGAAUUGACGGGGGCCCGCACAAGCGGUGGAGCAUGUGGUUUAAUUCGAUGAUACGCGAGGAACCUUACCAGGGCUUAAAUGUAGAUUGACAGGUUUAGAGAUAGACUUUCCUUCGGGCAAUUUACAAGGUGCUGCAUGGUUGUCGUCAGCUCGUGCCGUGAGGUGUCAGGUUAAGUCCUAUAACGAGCGCAACCCCUAUUGUUAGUUGCCAGCGGGUCAAGCCGGGAACUCUAACAAGACUGCCGGUGCAAACCGUGAGGAAGGUGGGGAUGACGUCAAAUCAUCACGGCCCUUACGUCCUGGGCUACACACGUGCUACAAUGGCCAGUACAGAAAGCAGCUACCAGGCAACUGGAUGCGAAUCUCAAAAGCUGGUCUCAGUUCGGAUUGGAGUCUGCAACUCGACUCCAUGAAGCUGGAAUCGCUAGU